UGGGGAAUAUUGGACAAUGGGGGAAACCCUGAUCCAGCGACGCCGCGUGUGUGAAGAAGGCCUGCGGGUUGUAAAGCACUUUUAGUGGGGACAAAAAGCUACGGAUUAAUACUCUGUGGUCUUGAUUUAACCCAAAGAAAAAGCACCGGCUAACUCUGUGCCAGCAGCCGCGGUAAUACAGAGGGUGCGAGCGUUAAUCGGAAUUACUGGGCGUAAAGCGCGCGUAGACGGUUUUGUAAGUCAGAUGUGAAAUCCCUGGGCUCAACCUGGGAACUGCAUUUGAGACUGCAUGGCUAGAGUAUCGAAGAGGGAAGUGGAAUUUCCGGUGUAGCGGUGAAAUGCGUAGAUAUCGGAAGGAACACCAGUGGCGAAAGCGACUUCCUGGUCGAAUACUGACGUUCAUGUGCGAAAGCGUGGGGAGCAAACAGGAUUAGAUACCCUGGUAGUCCACGCCAUAAACGAUGACAACUAGAUGUUGGGAGGGUCUGCCUCUCGGUGUCGCAGCUAACGCGUUAAGUUGUCCGCCUGGGGAGUACGGCCGCAAGGUUG
rnacentral:rRNA from 1 species